rfam:Felis catus isolate Cinnamon breed Abyssinian chromosome B1, whole genome shotgun sequence.
GCCUGGGUGGCUCAGUCGGUUGAGCGUCUGACUUCGGCUCAGGUCAUGAGCUCACAGUCUGUGAGUUCAAGCCCUGCAUCGGGCU